CCUACGGGAGGUUGCAGUGGGGAAUAUUGGACAAUGGGGGGAACCCUGAUCCAGCCAUGCCGCGUGUGUGAAGAAGGCCCUCGGGUUGUAAAGCACUUUCAGUGAGGAAGAACGCCUGGUGGUUAAUACCCAUCAGGAAAGACAUCACUCACAGAAGAAGCACCGGCUAACUCCGUGCCAGCAGCCGCGGUAAUACGGAGGGUGCGAGCGUUAAUCGGAAUUACUGGGCGUAAAGCGCGCGUAGGUGGCUUGAUAAGCCGGUUGUGAAAGCCCCGGGCUCAACCUGGGAACGGCAUCCGGAACUGUCAAGCUAGAGUGCAGGAGAGGAAGGUAGAAUUCCCGGUGUAGCGGUGAAAUGCGUAGAGAUCGGGAGGAAUACCAGUGGCGAAGGCGGCCUUCUGGACUGACACUGACACUGAGGUGCGAAAGCGUGGGUAGCAAACAGGAUUAGAUACCCGUGUAGUC
rnacentral:rRNA from 1 species